CGCGUAGGUGGUUUGUUAAGUUGGAUGUGAAAGCCCCGGGCUCAACCUGGGAACUGCAUCCAAAACUGGCGGGCUAGAGUACGGUAGAGGGUGGUGGAAUUUCCUGUGUAGCGGUGAAAUGCGUAGAUAUAGGAAGGAACACCAGUGGCGAAGGCGACCACCUGGACUGAUACUGACACUGAGGUGCGAAAGCGUGGGGAGCAAACA
rnacentral:rRNA from 1 species